rnacentral:rRNA from 1 species
CCUACGGGAGGCAACAGUGGGGAAUAUUGCACAAUGGGGGAAACCCUGAUGCAGCGACGCCGCGUGAGUGAAGAAGUAUUUCGGUAUGUAAAGCUCUAUCAGCAGGGAAGAAAAUGACGGUACCUGAUUAAGAAGCCCCGGCUAACUACGUGCCAGCAGCCGCGGUAAUACGUAGGGGGCAAGCGUUAUCCGGAUGUACUGGGUGUAAAGGGAGCGUAGACGGCAGUACAAGUCUGGAGGGAAAUGCCCGGGCUUAACCCCGGAACUGCUUUUGAUACUGUGCAGCUAGAGUGCAGGAGAGGUAAGUGGAAUGCCUAGUGUAGCGGUGAAAUGCGUAGAUAUUAGGAGGAACACCAGUGGCGAAGGCGGCUUACUGGACUGUAACUGACGUUGAGGCUCGAAAGCGUGGGGAGCAAACAGGAUUAGAUACCCCAGUAGUC